GAAGGACUGGUAUGACAUCAAGGCCCCAUCGAUCUUCAAUGUGCGGAGUGUCGGGAAGACGCUAGUCUCUCGCACCCAGGGUACUAAGAUUGCAUCCGAAGGUCUCAAACAUCGAGUUUUUGAGGUUUCCUUGGCGGACCUCCAAAAUGAUGAGGAUCAGGCAUACAGGAAGAUCCGACUGAGAGCUGAGGAUGUCCAGGGGAAGAAUGUUCUUACCAACUUUUGGGGAAUGAAUUUCACUACUGACAAGGUGAGGUCUUUGGUCCGCAAGUGGCAAACUCUCAUUGAGGCUCAUGUGGAUGUGAAGACUACAGAUAACUACACUCUCCGCAUGUUCUGUAUUGGAUUCACCAAGAGACGUCCUAAUCAAGUUAAGCGGACUUGCUAUGCACAGUCCAGCCAAAUUAGACAAAUUCGCCGCAAGAUGACUGAGAUCAUGAUAAACCAGGCGACUUCUUGUGACCUGAAAGAGUUGGUUCAAAAGUUCAUUCCUGAAAUGAUCGGGAAAGAGAUUGAGAAGCAGACCCAUAGCAUUUAUCCUCUGCAGAAUGUCUUCAUCAGGAAAGUCAAAAUUCUGAAGGCCCCUAAGUUUGAUCUUGGAAAGCUGAUGGAGGUUCAUGAUCAUACUGGUGAGGAUUUGGGUGUGAAGAUGGAUAGGCCUGCUGAGGAACCUGCAGCAGAGGUAGAGACUGAGAUUGUCGGUGCUUAGGCCUCCCAUUUUUGUUUUACUGUUAUUUCCAGCAAUUUUAUGGUAGCAGGAACUUGUAGGGCUGUAUGUGGUAACUUAAUUUAAGGUAAGUUGUUUGGUUGUUUCUUGUUCCUCGCUGUGGGGAGAAUUUUCUUAUAUGCAAUAUGUAC
rnacentral:misc_RNA from 1 species